AGGCGCGAAAACUUUACAAUGCAGGAAACUGCGAUAAGGGAACCCCGAGUGCCAGCACCAAGUGUUGGCUGUCCAGAUGAUUAAAGAUCAUUUGUUAGCAAGGGCCGGGCAAGACCGGUGCCAGCCGCCGCGGUAACACCGGCGGCCCGAGUGGUAACCGUUUUUAUUGGGUCUAAAGGGUCCGUAGCCGGUCUGAUCAGUCUUUUGGGAAAUCUGACGGCUCAACCGUUAGGCUUUCGGGGGAUACUGCCAGGCUUGGAACCGGGAGAGGUAAGAGGUACUACAGGGGUAGGAGUGAAAUCUUGUAAUCCCUGUGAGACCACCUGUGGCGAAGGCGUCUUACCAGAACGGGUUCGACGGUGAGGGACGAAAGCUGGGGGCACGAACCGGAUUAGAUACCCGGGUAGUCCCAGCCGUAAACGAUGCUCGCUAGGUGUCAGGCAUGGCGCGACCGUGUCUGGUGCCGCAGGGAAGCCGUGAAGCGAGCCACCUGGGAAGUACGGCCGCGAGGCUGAAACUUAAAGGAAUUGGCGGGGGAGCACAACAACGGGUGGAGCCUGCGGUUUAAUUGGACUCAACGCCGGACAACUCACCGGGGACGACAGCAAAAUGUAGGCCAGGCUGAAGACCUUGCCUGAAUCGCUGAGAGGAGGUGCAUGGCCGUCGCCAGUUCGUACUGUGAAGCAUA
rnacentral:rRNA from 1 species